rnacentral:lncRNA from 10 species
AGCAGGGACCUGCUUAUAUUUUCCUAUGAUGGUGACUUAUUAACUAAAAUCCAACCCACCCGUUUGGGAACCAAAUUAGAUAAGUUAUCUCUUUGUGUCAUCCCAGUUCACUGGCUCACCACUCUCUGGACAUAUAAACACUCUGUUUUAUUUCGCAGAUGAGGAAAUUAGAAGACGGGGGAAACUGCAGCUUGUCCUUUUCUCCUCAAAAGCCCAUUUCAAAGUCCACAUUCGAUUGCGGGAUUACGCUUAAGAGAAUCAUAGAAGAUAAGGAGCCACAAAGGUUCACUCUGUUUUCAAAGGUGCAGUCAAAAUGUUACACUUCUAAACUGUGGCAACGAGACACACCCUGAAGAAAGAGAGCGUUACACCUUCACAAGAAAACAGAGAAACCAAGAUACCUUGUGAUGUCUUGUACAUACCAAGAAAAAUAUGUCCUAACCUUGAAAGCCCAUUUUGGGUGUGAGUGGAACCACAUCAUUACAAAACCAAAAAGCUGUAUCUUUCUCAUCCACUAUACCCCUUCUUUUCCAAAUGGACACCUGAGACUUUGAGCUACUUCAUACAACAGAGUUUCACACUGGGACCUCCCACGUCUACCUGCAUUUCAGGCCCGAAUCUUUCCUGGCAUCAGAUUUAUCAUCAAGAACCUUUCUGUGGUUCAUUUCUUGGGGCACAAUUCUCUCGUGAUGGGGACUAAUCCCGUCAAAUCAUCCAUUUUUGUUAACAUUAAUUGUGAUAUCCAUUCCAGGUAUCUGCUUUGUGUAUAAAAAGGAAAUUUCUGAAGAUACAGCUUUAUGUGAAAAGGAGUGAUUUUAGUUGCAGAGGUUUCAUACAUAAUGGGAGGCUGGUGAAAAAGAUUAUUCCUUGCUGAAAAACUCUGGAAAAAUCAUGCCAUACAGAAAGCUGUCCACAUGGCCUAUGCAUGGAUUCAGUGCUGUGGGGGAAGGACAUACUCUUUACACUUUUACAACUUCCUGAUGUGAGUGGUUCACUCACAGGAAAAGGGGCAAUGCCUUUGUACUGACACUUUCACCCCAAGUUUCCAGCCUGUGGAGUGGAAGGUAAAACUAAAGGCGGGGUAAUCAGGCCAUCAUGAACAAAAAUAGAAAAUAGUGUCUUGGCAUGCAAAUACUGUGAAUUUCAUUUCUCUCUCUCCCUCUCUCUCUCUCUCUCUUUCUCUGCCCCCCAUCCCCCAAUCUUUUGAACAGUUCCAAUGUUACUAGUAUAUAAUUAUGACAACUGGGCUUAAAUUGAAUACUAAGUUAAUGCAUUUUGACACUCUAUUAUUCAUUAACUAAAUUUCAGUUAUUUAAGCAUGAGAUUAACAAACACUUUUGAGCAUCUACUAUAUACUAGGCAUUAUGAUGAUUACUGGGGAUAUAGAGAGACCAGAUGUGGUCCUUUCCCCAAGGAACUUACAGUCUACUGGACAGAUAAA